GCCUUGCUGGGCCCUGUCACCGCACUUAGUCUACUUUACAAAACUUGUAAACAAAACCUAGAAAUGAAGAGGAAAAUCAUAGAUCUACUUACUGAGUAAAAGAAAGCAGAGGAAAAUGAUGGAUCGGCUUAGUGAUUUGCCCGAUUCAGUGCUACAAAAGAUUCUGUCUUUGGUAGAGAAUAUGACAGAAGUUGUAAGAAGUAGUGUGUUAUCCGCUUUCUUUGGAAGUCCGUUCCGCUAUCACUUCGUUUCUCUCUUGACGACUCUAAUUGUAGCGGAGAUGGUGAUAUUGAUGAUUUCGUCAAAUACGUUAAUAGACAGGUUUUGCUUUCCAGGAUAUACGAAAAUUCAGUGUGAAUAUGAGGUUCAACGAGUGUUACAGACAAGAUAUUGAUCUCUGGGUAUAUUUUGCUAAAGCUGCUAAUGUUGAAGAUUUUAUACUCACAUUAUACUAUGUUGUUAAGCAUGAUUAUGAGUUUCCUCAGUUUGGGUAUAUGAAUUCGUCCUUAAAGAAUAUGGUUUUACGUGAUUACCAACUGAACCCUACUGGUAGUAUUAGCUGGAGUAGUCUGAUUUCUCUUUCAAUUGGGGAUCUCAAGUUGACAGAUGGGGUUAUGGAAAAGGUAUUAUCUGGUUGUCCUAACUUGGAGUCCCUCGAAAUCGAUAAAUUCUCGGGCCUUAAUCAUUUGGAAAUCAGCUCUGUCAAGGUUAGGAAGUUGAUCGUUGGGAGCAGCAAAAUAGAAGGGACAAAAGCUGGCCAUCUGCUUGAAAUUUUUGCCCCAUAUGUUCAAAAUCUUCAACUUUUGGGGUCCAGACACGAGACGCCCUUGCAGCUGAGAAAUGUGGCUUCACUUGUCACUGCUUUCCUCGAUUUUACACCCUAUGUAGGCCUUUAACGUGCUGAUGAUGAUGGAGUAGACAGGGAGUGUAGUUAUUUGAAGGAGCUUCUUCAAAGUCUUGUCCACGUCAAGAGUCUUGAAUUGGGUCCUUGGUGCAUCGAGUUCUUAUCCAUAUUGGUGCUGAAAGGGUGGCAAUCUCCUGCAUCAAGUCGAAGAAUCUUAACACUUAACGCCGCCUUGGUACAGCAGGACUUCCCUGCAAUUUGCAGCUUGCUACAGAGUUCGCCAGAUCUUGAGACAUUGGUCAUUGACUGGACUAAGAACAAUUCAAGACAUUUCCUCUUGAGGUUCAUCGAUGAGGAUGAAAAUGGCAGGAUGUUUGAGAAGCAUAUUUUUGACUGCUUACUGUUCCAUCUGAGGACUGUCAAGAUCAUUAACUAUUACGGACCAUUAAGAGCAAAUAAGUAUAUAAUGCCAUUGGUAAAACAUUUGCUCAAGAAUGCAGAAGUGCUAGAGAAGAUGGUCAUUGCUGCCAGUUUACGCUACAACAAAUUCGAAGGGAGUGAUGUGUCUCGUGAUUUUGUUGAAAUGGCACAGGAGCUUCUAAGUUUUCCAAGAUCCUCCAAGCAUGCUGUAGUUCUGUUUUCUUAUUGAUAAUCCUCGGCCACUCUCAUAUGAAUGGAUUGCUACAUAGUAUUUAGCAGGUGUUACCUUAUGUGCAAAGCGUAUUACGAACUAGUCUGUGGUGAUUGUUAAGGUUGUGAUCUUUCUUGUCUGUAGCCAAAGAGUUGUCAGUAGAUGUUAAUGUCUAAGUGACUAUUUCUUCUCUGAUCAUGGUAAAUCUUGCUAUUAUAUGUUUUGUUA